GGGGUUGAUGACGCAGUCUGACAGCCAAGUAGCGUGCAGGAUGACGGCCCUCUGGGUUGUAAACUGCUUUUAGUUGGGAAUAAAAAAGAGGACGUGUCCUCUAUUGUAUGUACCUUCAGAAAAAGGACCGGCUAAUUCCGUGCCAGCAGCCGCGGUAAUACGGAAGGUCCAGGCGUUAUCCGGAUUUAUUGGGUUUAAAGGGAGCGUAGGCGGAUUAUUAAGUCAGUGGUGAAAGACGGUGGCUCAACCAUCGUUAGCCAUUGAAACUGGUAGUCUUGAGUGCAGACAGGGAUGCUGGAACUCGUGGUGUAGCGGUGAAAUGCUUAGAUAUCACGAUGAACUCCGAUCGCGAAGGCAGGUGUCCGGGCUGCAACUGACGCUGAGGCUCGAAAGUGUGGGUAUCAAACAGGAUUAGAUACCCUGGUAGUCCACACAGUAAACGAUGUAUACUCGCGGUUUGCGAUAGAAUGUAAGCCGCCAAGCGAAAGCAUUAAGUAUACCACCUGGGGAGUACGCCGGCAACGGUGAAACUCAAAGGAAAUUGACGGAGU
rnacentral:rRNA from 1 species